GCUGCGUGCCAUAACACAUGCCUGCAGCUCCAGCUACUUGAGAGGUUGACACGGGAUGAUCCAUCCCUUGAGCUCAGGAGCUCUGGGCUUAAGUGUGCUAUGCCAAUGGAGUGUCUGGACUAAGUUUGGCAUCAAUAUGGUGACCUCCCAGGAGUGGGAACCAUCAGAUUGCCAAAGGGAGAAUGAACUGGCCCUCAGGUCAGAAGCAGAGCGGUUCUAAACUCAUGCUGAUCAGUAAUGGGAUCGCACCUGUGAAUAGCUACUGCACUCCAGCCUGGGCAACAUUGCAAGACUCCAACUCU
rnacentral:SRP_RNA from 1 species